UACGUAGGGUGCGAGCGUUGUCCGGAAUUAUUGGGCGUAAAGGGCGCGUAGGCGGUGCGGUAAGUCAGCCUGUCGAAACUCUGGGCUCAACUCAGAGCCUGCAGGCGGAAACUGCCGUGCGUGGAGUGUGGGAGAGGUGCGUGGAAUUCCGGUGUAGCGGUGAAAUGCGUAGAGUAUCGGGAGGAACGACCUGUGGCGAAAGCGGCGCACUGGACACAACUGACGCUGGAGGCGCGAA
rnacentral:rRNA from 1 species